UACGUAGGGGGCAAGCGUUAUCCGGAAUUAUUGGGCGUAAAGAGCGCGUAGGUGGUUUUGUAAGCGCGGGGUGAAAGGCAAUGGCUCAACCAUUGUAAGCCUUGCGAACUGUGAGACUUGAGUGCAGGAGAGGAAAGCGGAAUUCCUAGUGUAGCGGUGAAAUGCGUAGAUAUUAGGAGGAACACCAGUGGCGAAGGCGGCUUUCUGGACUGUAACUGACACUGAGGCACGAAAGCGUGGGGAGCAAACAGG
rnacentral:rRNA from 1 species